CUGCCCAGAAGCGGGGGAUAACACCUGGAAACAGAUGCUAAUACCGCAUAACAACUUGGACCGCAUGGUCCGAGCUUGAAAGAUGGCUUCGGCUAUCACUUUUGGAUGGUCCCGCGGCGUAUUAGCUAGAUGGUGGGGUAACGGCUCACCAUGGCAAUGAUACGUAGCCGACCUGAGAGGGUAAUCGGCCACAUUGGGACUGAGACACGGCCCAAACUCCUACGGGAGGCAGCAGUAGGGAAUCUUCCACAAUGGACGAAAGUCUGAUGGAGCAACGCCGCGUGAGUGAAGAAGGGUUUCGGCUCGUAAAACUCUGUUGUUAAAGAAGAACAUAUCUGAGAGUAACUGUUCAGGUAUUGACGGUAUUUAACCAGAAAGCCACGGCUAACUACGUGCCAGCAGCCGCGGUAAUACGUAGGUGGCAAGCGUUGUCCGGAUUUAUUGGGCGUAAAGCGAGCGCAGGCGGUUUUUUAAGUCUGAUGUGAAAGCCUUCGGCUCAACCGAAGAAGUGCAUCGGAAACUGGGAAACUUGAGUGCAGAAGAGGACAGUGGAACUCC
rnacentral:rRNA from 2 species